UACCAUCACCCCGAGCGGUCGGGACGUUUAUUGGGCCUAAAGCCUCCGUAGCCGGUUCUACAAGUCUUCCGUUAAAUCCACCUGCUUAACAGAUGGGCUGCGGAAGAUACUAUAGAGCUAGGAGGCGGGAGAGGCAAGCGGUACUCGAUGGGUAGGGGUAAAAUCCGUUGAUCCAUUGAAGACCACCAGUGGCGAAGGCGGCUUGCCAGAACGCGCUCGACGGUGAGGGAUGAAAGCUGGGGGAGCAAACCGG
rnacentral:rRNA from 1 species